rnacentral:lncRNA from 1 species
AAAAAAUUGCUAAAAAAUUGCCAGCCACAGUGGCUCAUGCCUGUCAUCCCAGCACUCUGGGAGGCCAAGGUGGGUGGAUCACCUGACGUCAGGAGUUGGAGACCAGCCUGGCGAAACUCCGUCUGUACUAAAAAUACAAAAAUUGGCUGAUGUAGUGGCAGGCGCCUGUAGUUAGUCCCAGCUACUCAGGAGGGUGAGACAGGAAAACCGCUUGAACCCAGGAGGUGGAGGUUGCAGUGAGCCAAUAUCGCACCACUACACUCCAGCCUGGGCGACAGAGCGAGACACCAUCUCAAAAAAAAACAAAAAAAUAAAAAAUUAGCCAGACGUGGUGGCACGCCCCUGUGGUCUCAGCUACUCGGGAGGCUGAGCUGGGAGGAUCACUUGAGCCCAUGAGGUUGAGGCUGCAGUGAGCUCUGAUGGCACCACUGCACUCCAGCCUGGGGGACAGAGUGAGAGAGAAGUUUAUUCCCCGGAGCACCCCACUGGGUCUCCCUUGUGGCCCGCCUCGCAUCUUCUUAAACUCUGCAUGGCAUAUGUCUUCUGUUCUUACCUUAGGAGUUCUGUUUGCUCAGCCGCCGGCCCCCACGCCAACCUCUGCUCCCAACAAAGGAGGCGGCGGCGGCGGCAGCAGCAGCAACGCAGGCGGCCGGGGAGGAAACACCGGAACCAGCGGCGGCCAGGCUGGGCCAGCAGGGCUGUCCACACCCUCCACAUCUACCUCAAAUAACUCGUUGCCUUAACCGCAUCACUCCCCACCCGCCACCCACCCUGGAGCCCGCCGGCCUGGGAAGGGGGUCCAGGUGGGCCACACAGGGGCCAGGAUGGCGGAAGAUACGGGUGGGGAGGGAAGAUAUCCAGAAAGGAGCCACAGCUGACGCCAAAAAGAAGAGAAAAUAUAUAUAUAUAUAUAUAUAUAUAUACGUAUAUAUAUAAAGAGAAUUUAAUAAAACAGGGGAAAACCAAGGAACACUUGAAUUUCUCAGGUUUUGGACAUUCAGAGAGAUGAAUUGUGAGAACAGCAAAGGAAAUCCAUCAGAAAAACAGAAAGAGGCAGACGUUUCCCAGGGCGUUCAGGCAGCCCUGACGGACCGAAGGCUCUGGUGUCUGGUUUGGCCCCACAGCAGCGUGGGCCGAUCCUGUUUACCUCAUACAUCCCUGCACUGUGUGUUUUCAUUUUUGUCUGCUUUAGUUCUCUUUUAUUUUCUAUUCACCACACACUCACCACUCCCAGCUUCUCGUGUCCAGUGAAACCCCUGAACCAAGAUCACUGAAUUUUUGUUUUUUUCUUGUUGCUUUGGGAAAUUUUUUUUUCUCUGUAGUCCUGGAUACUCGGCAGGAAGCCGUGUCUCCAGAGGGUCCUCCCUGCCUCAGGUGGCCCCGUUCAACCCCAGCCGUGCCCAUCUCCUGCCACCGCCUGUCGGUGGGGGUUUAAAUUCGGUGUGGCUUUCUGGGGUGCAGCUCAGCACCCCCCCUUAUGCAGACUGGGAGGGGGUCGGGCAGUCCCCUCAGCCACGAGGACCCUGGAUGGGUUCGAGUUCACUUGGGACCGUGGGGCCUAGCUGCGUACUGAGUGGGUGCCCCACAGUCAAGGCCAGUGGGGGCUCCCCCUGCUCUGAGAUGUUGGGAGAAAGGCGGCUUCUGGAACCUUCCGUGGGACCCGUAAGUGGCUGUCCAGAAAGGCGGGAGGGUGGGCACGGGGCAUUUUUUCCCUUGGCAAAUGUAAACUCAGCCUUUCAUUCAUGACGUGUGAAAUUUCAGUUUCUCUGGAGUUUGUCAGACGGCGUGGGAACCACGCCUGAAACUCAGGUAAUAGGAGGGAAAAAAAAAAAACCUUAAAAAAAUAAAAAAAAAGACAUAAAACUACUCUCUACCUCUGGCUG